rnacentral:lncRNA from 1 species
CACGGGGGGGGUUACUUCCUAUUAUUGGGUAUACGGGGAUGUGCCAAAAAUAUGGGUCAUAAUUUUGCGAGAUUUUAUAUAAAAAUGACCCUCCUUUUUAAUGACAUCCUAUAUUAAAAUGCAUUUACGUUUGAUAACUGUAUAUUGAUUUGGGGUAUGAUCUACAUAUCAUAUAUAAAUAGGCUAUUAAGAAUGUCAAUUCAUAUAUAAAAACUUAAGGGUAGCUGACCAGUAUAUUUAUGAAUUAUGAGCAAUGGGUCAUAUUUUAAAUAUUGUAUAUAAGUAAAGGUCAUUCUUUCUUAAAUAUUUAUAUAACUAUAGGUACUGAAUUUCAGUGAAUGUUAUAUUAAAAUGGGUACGUUUUUUGAGGCAAAAAUGGCACACCCCUACCAAAAAAAUAUCGAAGUUACCCCCCCCC